ensembl:snRNA U6 U6 spliceosomal RNA
GGUGCUUACUUUGGCAACAUACGCUGAAAUAAUAUAGAGGAAGAUUAGCAUGGCCCCUUUAUAAGGAUAAUGUGAAAAUUUGUGAAGUGUUCCAUAUUUUA